GGGGUGAGGGGUAAGAGGAGAACCAGGAGCCACAGCCGCGGCUCACGCCCCACCGCAACAUUAAGAUUACAAGUGGACACCUGAGUCAGCAGGACCUGGAAUCCCAGAUGAGAGAGCUUAUCUACACGACUCAGAUCUUGUUGUCACCCCCAUUAUUGACAAUCCAAAGGUGCAGAAAGCACUCUGACAAAUGGGCCAAGGUUGCUCGGGUGAUUGGUUUACUGGCUUCGCACAAAACUGAUCUCCAGGAAAAUACACCUGUUGUUGAGGCCUUCCCUAACAGUCCCAGAACUCCUACAUUGCCUGGUGUGCUGACCUAAAGCCCUCAUUAAGACCAGUAACAAAUCAAGCCUAUCUUAUCAACUGACAACACAUUCUGGAACCAUGGCGUGUCCAUGGAUAAGACAUGAAGUCCUUCUUUCAAGACUUGGUUUUCUGGUACUGGAAAAUACCAAUAUGGAUAAAAGACCUUCAAAGCUGCUACGAUGGGUAAGGAACAAUGCACACAGUAUACCAUUAAGGCAAAGAAGAUAGUCUUAAUCCUGUAUGAAAUGCCAAUGAAGAUGUAAUUAAUGAAUAGACAUUUCAUUGAAAUGAAAUCAAAAGACAUUUUCCUUCUCUGACAUAACAGAGUAGAACUCUCUAGUAAGAACACAAAACUGACCAGCCUGACCAAUGUGAUAAAACCCCCUGUCUCUACUAAAAAGACAAAAAUUAGCCAUGCAUGGUAGCAGAUGCUUGUAAUCCCAGCUACUCAAGAGGCUCAGGCAUGAGAAUCUCUUGAACCCAAAAGGUGGAGGCUGCAGUGAGUCGAGAUCGCACAACUGCACUUCACCCUGGGCGACAAAGCAAGACUUUGUUUUUUAAAAAAAAGAA